CUACGUGCCAGCAGCCGCGGUAAUACGUAGGGUGCGAGCGUUAAUCGGAAUUACUGGGCGUAAAGCGAGCGCAGACGGUUACUUAAGCAGGAUGUGAAAUCCCCGGGCUCAACCUGGGAACUGCGUUCUGAACUGGGUGACUAGAGUGUGUCAGAGGGAGGUAGAAUUCCACGUGUAGCAGUGAAAUGCGUAGAGAUGUGGAGGAAUACCGAUGGCGAAGGCAGCCUCCUGGGAUAACACUGACGUUCAUGCCCGAAAGCGUGGGUAGCAAACAGGAUUAGAUACCCUGGUAGUCCACGCCCUAAACGAUGUCAAUUAGCUGUUGGGCAACUUGAUUGCUUAGUAGCGUAGCUAACGCGUGAAAUUGACCGCCUGGGGAGUACGGCCGCAAGGUUAAAACUCAAAUGAAUUGACGGGGGCCCGCACAAGCGGUGGAGCAUGUGGUUUAAUUCGAUGCAACGCGAAGAACCUUACCUACUCUUGACAUCCAGAGAACAUUC
rnacentral:rRNA from 1 species